rnacentral:lncRNA from 10 species
CUUUUGGAUCUCUACUCCCAUCUCCCCCUGAGUUCAGACUUGCACCACCUACUGGCUCUUCACUGACCGGCUAACUGAUGCUCAAAUUCGACGUAUCGAAAGCAGAACUCACAGUGUGCCCUUACAGACAAAGUAUGGGCACUAUUUCAUCAGCGGGAAGAAAGAGAAGUAUGGUGCCCUAAUAUAAAUCCAUCAGUGUGCCCUUCCAGGAUUCCUCAAGGAAUGAACAUUUUCCAGGACAAUGCCAACUCCUGAAGAUCUUGCUCUAAGUGGUCAAAGGGUGAGCAUACUGCAGGCAACAAAAGAUCGAGCAUACUACAGGCAACCAAGGGUCAAGACAAAUUUACAGGAUCCCUCCCUACCGUGGCCACUACCCAGCUUCCCAGUAGUGCCUUCCUAAUUUGCUGCCCAUGGUAAUGGAGACAAAUACCUGCAGAAGAACAUAAUCAAAACUCAAAGGAAAGUUGAGCAAGCACUGGAACAUUCACAAAGGCAGACAGCAGACGUGCUCAUCAAAAGCAUUUUUGCUGCAUAUUGGGUUAUCAGGAUGGACAUGCAUGGACUAAUCAAUGUGCUUCAAUGAGAGCUGUAGAAAAAUGGAAUGAGCAACAAAUGGAGUCAUCAUACAGCCAGCAUCAUAUAGAAGUGUGGGAGAGACAUAACCAUGCUUGCAAGGGAAGAGGAAAAUGAGCUUGAACAUACAUGAAAGAGAAUAUAUGAAGCCAGAUUCCUGAUAAGAAAGAAAGAAGAAUUUUCUUUGCUUUCAGUGAGAGCAGAAAAAAGGCCUGGAAUGGCUGCUUUUAGGCAAAGCACUAUCCAGCUCUCACCCGAGUUCCUGACAAGAAUGACAAAGAGAGAAAAAAUAAAACUUUCUGGGAAAGAAGGAAUAAGAAGCUGGAUUGGCAGAAAGAUCAAUGUGGUUUUCCCUAGAGCUUCCUGGGCAGAGCACAGAAAAGGCUGGUUGCCUAUGGAGAACUACAAAUUGAAGAGUUUCUUAAUCAGUCCACUGUUCACUUGAUUCCCAGACACAGACAACAUGAGUUUAAUUAUCCGGAGACAUUUCAAAGGAUGUUGAUGUUUCAUGAUGGGAAAACGGCUACUUCUACAAAGAAUUGAUCUUUCUGAAUAGAAAGAAGGUCAUUCCUGUGAGCACUGUAUAUUUUGCCAACAGAAUUAGACUGGUCAGUUAAGAAGUAUGCCUUAAUUAUUAAGAGCAUAGGAUCAGGCAGUCUGAGCUCUGAGUUCAAAAUCCUAACCUUACCCUUACCAACCAAGUGCCUAUUGGGUACAGAAUCAUAACACUUCGGUAAAAUGAUUCCCGUGAACACAAAAUAUACGGUACUCUCAUGAGCACCAUAUAUUUUUCCAACAGAAUUAGACUGGUCAGUUAGGAAUUAGACUGUUUUAAUUGUUAAGAGUACAGGAUCAGGAAGUCUGAGUUCUGAGUUCAAAAUCCUAACCUUGCUUUUACCAACCAAGUGCCCAUUGAGUACAGAAUCAUAACAAUUGGAUGAAAUGAUUAGCAUGACAGUGCCUAGAUGAUAUGGUGUUGUAUAUAUUCAAUAUGAUGUAAUUUUCCAAUAUCCAUUGAAUGUGUACCAUGUGGAUACAAGGAGAACAAGAAGAUGAAGUCUUUCUCAUUGGGAAGCUCACAUCUUAGUGACCCUCCAGAAUUAAUAUAUCUAAAGACUAAGGACAGUACCAAACACAAAGUAAUUGCUAUCUAUGCUGUUAUUCAUGCAAAUGAUUAAAUCAGUGCACCCCCUCCCAAUCAUGGAUUGCUCUAAUAUUACAUAUCACUCUUAUAUUAUACCUUCCUCCAGACAGUAAAUGGAAAUCUGCACUCCUAGAGUUUUGUGUUGUUAUUCUUAAUGAUGAUAUGGCAAGAGACUGCAAACAUCCUGAUUUGCAAGGCUAGGGAGCUUGGAAAUGCCAGGAAAUAUGGGAAAAAUCAAACCCCAUUCUUUCAACUCACUGGCGAUUUUUUCCUGGCUACACUGUCUUCAUUUAAUCUACAUUUCCCUACCAGCAGGUGCUCACCAACUACCAUUGGUGAAGGCACCAGUGAGUUUCUGGUAAGGAUCUGAGUUGUUCCUGACCACAGAUUGGAGGAACCAUGUGGGAAAAGGUGUAGCAUUGCAUUCUCUUGGAACACAGACUUUCGUCAUUUGGCAAAGAGAUUCAUCUUGCAUUUUUUAGUAUGAUGGCAAGCAAUACAUGAUGGCAAGCAAUACUUAACUUCAUAACCUUGAUUCAUAUCCUUCCCCCUAAUGCUCCUAACAGGACAACUGAAAUUUAUAUUGCCUGAUUGAAAAGAGGCUUUAUUUGACCCAGACACAAAGUUAGCUUUCCAAUACUUCCCUAGCUUCCAAGCCAUAAAAAAUUAAAUGCCUGGAAUGUGUACCUUACAAGAUAAAAUAAAUGAGAUAACUUUUUACUGGUAAACAAUCAAUAGCCUAUUAAAAUAAAACUAGCAUACAAUUCUCUGAUUUUUGUAGAGGGACAUUUUAUUUUGGUCCUGUAAGUUUCCCUAGUAGAGCUGGAAUAAUUGUAGAAUAGAUUUUGGAAGUAGUAUGUUCAGGCAUAAAAUAAUGCAAUAUGCAAUAACUCAAGUUGAUAAACAGGUUAAUUGCAAUGAUGCUUGGCACGUAGAUCUUUUUCUGCUAAGACUUUGAAAGUUAGAAAAACUCAUAAUAUUUAUGUUUGUCAUUUGAAGAAUUUAAGGGGUUAUUAAUAUUCAGAAACAUGUACUAAUUUCCUUUGAAGGGAGAUAACUUACUGGCUGUAAAAUAAAUAUUGGCCUUGGAACUGGACAAACUGAGCUUAAAUCCUGGCUCCUUCACUUAUUUGCUAUGUGACUUUAGAUAAAUGAUUUAAUCUUGAUUUUUUAAAUCUGAAAAAUAGGGUUAAUGAUACCUGAUGCUUUAGUAGUACAAUGAGGUAUUCCACAAAGAUAGUGGAAAACAGGGAAAUUAGGUUGCAUGUAACUACUAUCUUAGGAGCUUUAACAAAAUAAUAAAAUACCUGGGUUCUCAACCCCAGAAUUCUGAUAUAAUUAGACUUGAAUGAGGUUGAGGCACAGUAUUUUUGUCAAAAUCCAGACAGACAUGGUCCCUAUCUCUCAUGAAUUGCACAAUACAGUAGAAGUUACUGACGUUAUAGGUGAAGAACUAAAUUGAAUAUGAGUUUUAGAGCCAGGAAGAUCUGUGAUAUUUUGCUAGCUGUGUGGCCUUGGGCAAUAACUUAAUUUUCCUGAGUCUCAGUUUCCCCAUGUAUAAACACUAACGUUAAUGCAUUUGUAUCUCUUAGUAUAGUGAUUUAGGACUGCCACAUAGUAGGUGCGUCCUAAAUAUCAUUAUUCAUUAUAAUUUCACAAGUAUUAUUGGUAAUAUUUUACCUCAAAAAGAUACUAUGACUGAUCGUUUAGGUCUACAAGUAUCUAAUUGCUCAGUUGUAAUAUUUCACUUUAAAGUGAAUAAGGUCUCCAAAAGGUUAAAAAAAAAAUCACAGUUCUAUCUUAUUAGUGUUGAAAUGGGGGCAGUUACAGCCUCUUUUCCAUGCCACUUCACUAGUACUAGUACUGUCAAUACAUUUCUUCAUAAAAUAUAUCCAUCAGACAUGGAAUAUUAGGUAUUCAGAGUUGAUCUGUACUUUCAUAUACAUAUUGAUUUAAACAACAUAAUUUUGUGAUUUUGUUUUCAAUUUCCAUCUUGCAUGUUUUAGAAUUUCAUCUUCUAUCUUGGUAUAUGGAACAAUGUGUCAAUAAACAUCAGUGAGCAUAAAGGAAGGAUGACUCAACAAAUUCUUGCAUCCAGUUCAAUUUCAAUUCAGG